rnacentral:rRNA from 1 species
UACGAAGGGGGCUAGCGUUGUUCGGAAUUACUGGGCGUAAAGCGCGCGCAGGCGGUCUUCCAAGUCAGUGGUGAAAGCCCCGGAGCUCAACUCCGGAACUGCCAUUGAAACUGUAAGACUUGAGGAUGAGAGAGGUGAGUGGAAUUCCCAGUGUAGAGGUGAAAUUCGUAGAUAUUGGGAAGAACACCGGUGGCGAAGGCGGCUCACUGGCUCAUUACUGACGCUCAGGCGCGACAGCGUGGGGAGUCAAACAGG